rnacentral:rRNA from 1 species
ACGAACGCUGGCGGCGUGCCUAAUACAUGCAAGUAGAACGCUGAAGAGAGGAGCUUGCUCUUCUUGGAUGAGUUGCGAACGGGUGAGUAACGCGUAGGUAACCUGCCUUGUAGCGGGGGAUAACUAUUGGAAACGAUAGCUAAUACCGCAUAACAAUGGAUGACACAUGUCAUUUAUUUGAAAGGGGCAAUUGCUCCACUACAAGAUGGACCUGCGUUGUAUUAGCUAGUAGGUGAGGUAACGGCUCACCUAGGCGACGAUACAUAGCCGACCUGAGAGGGUGAUCGGCCACACUGGGACUGAGACACGGCCCAGACUCCUACGGGAGGCAGCAGUAGGGAAUCUUCGGCAAUGGGGGCAACCCUGACCGAGCAACGCCGCGUGAGUGAAGAAGGUUUUCGGAUCGUAAAGCUCUGUUGUAAGUCAAGAACGAGUGUGAGAGUGGAAAGUUCACACUGUGACGGUAGCUUACCAGAAAGGGACGGCUAACUACGUGCCAGCAGCCGCGGUAAUACGUAGGUCCCGAGCGUUGUCCGGAUUUAUUGGGCGUAAAGCGAGCGCAGGCGGUUUGAUAAGUCUGAAGUUAAAGGCUGUGGCUCAACCAUAGUUCGCUUUGGAAACUGUCAAACUUGAGUGCAGAAGGGGAGAGUGGAAUUCCAUGUGUAGCGGUGAAAUGCGUAGAUAUAUGGAGGAACACCGGUGGCGAAAGCGGCUCUCUGGUCUGUAACUGACGCUGAGGCUCGAAAGCGUGGGGAGCGAACAGGAUUAGAUACCCUGGUAGUCCACGCCGUAAACGAUGAGUGCUAGGUGUUGGAUCCUUUCCGGGAUUCAGUGCCGCAGCUAACGCAUUAAGCACUCCGCCUGGGGAGUACGACCGCAAGGUUGAAACUCAAAGGAAUUGACGGGGGCCCGCACAAGCGGUGGAGCAUGUGGUUUAAUUCGAAGCAACGCGAAGAACCUUACCAGGUCUUGACAUCCUUUGACCACUCUAGAGAUAGAGCUUCCCCUUCGGGGGCAAAGUGACAGGUGGUGCAUGGUUGUCGUCAGCUCGUGUCGUGAGAUGUUGGGUUAAGUCCCGCAACGAGCGCAACCCCUAUUGUUAGUUGCCAUCAUUCAGUUGGGCACUCUAGCGAGACUGCCGGUAAUAAACCGGAGGAAGGUGGGGAUGACGUCAAAUCAUCAUGCCCCUUAUGACCUGGGCUACACACGUGCUACAAUGGUUGGUACAACGAGUUGCGAGUCGGUGACGGCAAGCUAAUCUCUUAAAGCCAAUCUCAGUUCGGAUUGUAGGCUGCAACUCGCCUACAUGAAGUCGGAAUCGCUAGUAAUCGCGGAUCAGCACGCCGCGGUGAAUACGUUCCCGGGCCUUGUACACACCGCCCGUCACACCACGAGAGUUUGUAACACCCGAAGUCGGUGAGGUAACCUUUUGGAGCCAGCCGCCUAAGGUGGGAUAGAUGAUUGGGGUG